GAUGAACGCUGGCGGCGUGCCUAAUACAUGCAAGUCGAGCGAACGGACGAGAAGCUUGCUUCUCUGAUGUUAGCGGCGGACGGGUGAGUAACACGUGGAUAACCUACCUAUAAGACUGGGAUAACUUCGGGAAACCGGAGCUAAUACCGGAUAAUAUUUUGAACCGCAUGGUUCAAAAGUGAAAGACGGUCUUGCUGUCACUUAUAGAUGGAUCCGCGCUGCAUUAGCUAGUUGGUAAGGUAACGGCUUACCAAGGCAACGAUGCAUAGCCGACCUGAGAGGGUGAUCGGCCACACUGGAGCUUGGACACGGUCCAGACGCCUACGGGAGGCAGCAGUAGGGAAUCUUCCGCAAUGGGCGAAAGCCUGACGGAGCAACGCCGCGUGAGUGAUGAAGGUCUUCGGAUCGUAAAACUCUGUUAUUAGGGAAGAACAUAUGUGUAAGUAACUGUGCACAUCUUGACGGUACCUAAUCAGAAAGCCACGGCUAACUACGUG
rnacentral:rRNA from 1 species